GUACACGCUGUGACUAGCAUAUCAAUAAGCGGAGGAAAAGAAACUAACAAGGAUUCCCCUAGUAACGGCGAGUGAAGCGGGAAGAGCUCAAAUUUGAAAUCUUAAAGGGUUUCCCUUUACGAAUUGUAGUUUAAAGAAGUGUUUUCUGUUGAGGUUUUGGUAAAAGUUCUUUGGAAUAGGACAUCAUAGAGGGUGAGAAUCCCGUAUUUGACCUUUACUUUCAACUUUGUGAUACACUUUCAAAGAGUCGGAUUGUUUGGGAAUGCAGUCCAAAAUGGGUGGUAAAUUUCAUCUAAAGCUAAAUAUUGGCGAGAGACCGAUAGCGAACAAGUACCGUGAGGGAAAGAUGAAAAGAACUUUGAAAAGAGAGUUAAACAGUACGUGAAAUUGUCGAAAGGGAAGCGUUUGACACCAGUGUUGUUUUUCUGAAAAUCAAUUAAAGAACUGUUUAUGCUAAGCUGUUUAGACUUUAUCAGCUAUCUGUUUAGUUUUGAGCUUUUCUUUAAUGCACUUUUCAGUUAACAAGUCAACAUCAAUUUCUUUUGCUGUAAAAAAGCUUGAGGAAGGUGGCUUGAGAUUCGUCUUAAGUGUUUAUAGCCUCUUGCCUAUGCAGUCGGAGAGAUUGAGGUCUGCAGCGUAGAUCCUUCGGGGCUAAAUGCAUUUGUGCUAAGUUAUAACAUUUUAUAGACAACUUGUUGACUAUGAUUUGUCUUGUAGCUUACUCGCUUAUGUUAUUUUACCUACGCUUAGGAUGUUGACGAGACUGUCGAUCUC
rnacentral:rRNA from 1 species